rnacentral:rRNA from 1 species
GAAAUUUAACGGAUUUGGCGGCAAGAUAGCCAUUUAGAGGAACCUGCCCUAUAAUCGAUGAACCACGAAUUACCCUACUUUUUCUUGAAUUCAGUUUGUAUACCGCUGUUGUCAGUUAGUUUCAUCAGAAAACUUUCAUAAAUGAAAAAUUCAACGACUUCAAGUAAAGGUGCAGCUUAUGAAAAAGAUAGAGGUGGGUUACAUUUAUAAGAAUAAAACGGAUAAAGUUUUUGAAAUUAACUUUUGAAGGUGGAUUUAAUUGUAAAGUUUUAUUAAACUUGAUGAGAGCUCUGUCUUGUGUACACACCGCCCGUCGC